GACAGAGGGUGCAACCGUUGUUCGGAAUUACUGGGCGUAAAGCGCGUGUAGGCUGCUCAGAAAGUCGGAUGUGAAAGCCCUGGGCUUAACCUAGGAAGUGCAUUCGAAACUUCUGAGCUUGAGUUCUGGAGAGGAAGGCGGAAUUCUCGGUGUAGAGGUGAAAUUCGUAGAUAUCUGGAGGAACACCGGUGGCGAAGGCGGCAUCCUGGACCAUGACUGACGCUGAGGAGCGAAAGCCAGGGGAGCAAACGGG
rnacentral:rRNA from 1 species